rnacentral:miRNA from 15 species
AGUUUCUCUGGGAAAGCUAUCGG